rnacentral:rRNA from 1 species
UGCAGUCGAGCGGUAGAGAGAAGCUUGCUUCUCUUGAGAGCGGCGGACGGGUGAGUAAUGCCUAGGAAUCUGCCUGGUAGUGGGGGAUAACGUUCGGAAACGGACGCUAAUACCGCAUACGUCCUACGGGAGAAAGCAGGGGACCUUCGGGCCUUGCGCUAUCAGAUGAGCCUAGGUCGGAUUAGCUAGUUGGUGGGGUAAUGGCUCACCAAGGCGACGAUCCGUAACUGGUCUGAGAGGAUGAUCAGUCACACUGGAACUGAGACACGGUCCAGACUCCUACGGGAGGCAGCAGUGGGGAAUAUUGGACAAUGGGCGAAAGCCUGAUCCAGCCAUGCCGCGUGUGUGAAGAAGGUCUUCGGAUUGUAAAGCACUUUAAGUUGGGAGGAAGGGUUGUAGAUUAAUACUCUGCAAUUUUGACGUUACCGACAGAAUAAGCACCGGCUAACUCUGUGCCAGCAGCCGCGGUAAUACAGAGGGUGCAAGCGUUAAUCGGAAUUACUGGGCGUAAAGCGCGCGUAGGUGGUUAGUUAAGUUGGAUGUGAAAUCCCCGGGCUCAACCUGGGAACUGCAUUCAAAACUGACUGACUAGAGUAUGGUAGAGGGUGGUGGAAUUUCCUGUGUAGCGGUGAAAUGCGUAGAUAUAGGAAGGAACACCAGUGGCGAAGGCGACCACCUGGACUGAUACUGACACUGAGGUGCGAAAGCGUGGGGAGCAAACAGGAUUAGAUACCCUGGUAGUCCACGCCGUAAACGAUGUCAACUAGCCGUUGGGGAGCCUUGAGCUCUUAGUGGCGC